rnacentral:rRNA from 1 species
AUCAACUUUCGAUGGUAGGAUAGAGGCCUACCAUGGUGGUAACGGGUAACGGGGUGUUAGGGCACGACACCGGAGAGGGAGCCUGAGAAACGGCUACCACAUCCAAGGAUGGCAGCAGGCGCGCAAAUUACCCAAUCCCGACACGGGGAGGUAGUGACAAUAAAUAACAAUACGGGGUUCUUUAGGAUCUCGUAAUUGGAAUGAGUACAAUUUAAAUCUCUUAACGAGGAACAAUUGGAGGGCAAGUCUGGUGCCAGCAGCCGCGGUAAUUCCAGCUCCAAUAGCGUAUAUUAAAGUUGUUGCAGUUAAAAAGCUCGUAGUUGAAUUUCGAGACCGGUUUACUGGUCGUGCUUUUGUACGUACUGGUAUUAUUGGUUUCUCCUUUCUGACGAAUCAUAAUGCCAUUAAUUUGGUGUUUUGGGGAAUCAGGACUGUUACUUUGAAAAAAUUAGAGUGUUUAAAGCAGGCUCACGCUUGAAUACAUUAGCAUGGAAUAACGAAAUAGGACGUUUGAUUUUAUUUUGUUGGUUUCUAGGAUCGACGUAAUGAUUAAUAGGGAUAGUUGGGGGCAUUAGUAUUCAAUUGUCAGAGGUGAAAUUCUUGGAUUUAUUGAAGACUAACUACUGCGAAAGCAUUUGCCAAGGAUGUUUUCAUUAAUCAAGAACGANGUUAGGGGAUCGAAGACGAUCAGAUACCGUCGUAGUCUUAACCAUAAACUAUGCCGACUAGGGAUCGGAUGAUGUUAAUUUUUUAAUGACUCAUUCGGCGCCUUACGGGAAACCAAAGUGUUUGGGUUC